rnacentral:lncRNA from 1 species
UUAGGUAUCUUUUUCCAUGGCCCAAGAUAAUUUUCUCAAUUAUUGAAUAAUGAAUAAUUGUUUAUGUGUGUAUACGUAUAACACUAUGUCACCACCCAAUAUGUUCUUGUAUUAUUGCUUUCAAGUUGCUAAAGACUAACAAUGAUUGCCUACAUGUACGCUCACCACGUCACCACCAGGGGUGGAGCCAGCUGUUCGGGGUUUGGCCGAACCCCCUUCGACAGAAAAAUAUACUAUUUAUACAUGAUUAAAAUUAUUUUUUAUGUGGUUAUAGUAGGUGUUGAACCCCCUUCGACUAAGUUUUCUUUGAAUAUGGACCCCCUUAGUUGAAAUCCUAAGUUUUCUUUGAAUAUAGAUCCCCUUCGUUGAAAUCCUGGCUCCGCCUCUGGUCACCACCCAAUUUUUUGUAUAUAUUGUAUACGCACUAUGUGUAACUAUCAGAUAGGAUAUGACUCAUUUGCAACUUAUCGAAAAUAUGACUCUAGAUAGAAAGAUAUGAAGGUCGAAUAUUAGUGUUAAAGGAUGGAUAGUCGAGUGUUUGUCUAAUUCCUUUCCCGUGUGUGGUUAAAGAAUAGAUAGUCGAGUAUUUGUCUAGUUCCCUUUCCAUAUCCUUAUUAUUACUAUGGUACUAUCUCAUUUCUUCCAUUGCAGUAUUGAAUGUUUCUUUGCUUCAGUUAUUAUAUUAUUUGUUGGUGUUGCUAUUGCUCGAUCUAAUCCCCAUUGUUUGCAACAUGGUUUUCUUUCAAUAUUGUAUUCGUUUUACAUACUUGUUAAUUUUUCAAUAUUUUUUACUUGAGUCGAGGAUCUAUCGAAAAGAACCACUCUAUCUUCACAAGAUAGGGAUAGUAAGACUACAAACACGGAGCCCUUUUCAGAUCCUAUUUGUGAGGUUACACUUUAUAUGUGUUGUUGUUUGAUCAAUUAUUCUUAUAUUUAUAUUUUAAUUAUUUAUAAUAGGCUUUUACUUUUUAGUACACUUCCACCACCAAAAAAAAAUAAAAAAAUCAUCGAAAGACAAAUUCUAUCACCAAGAUCUUGUUAACUAUAAGCUAAUUAGCCAUUACUAAUUCAUGUUAUUCUAUAUUAUGUUUAGAUUAUCAUUAGAUUAGAUUAAUAAAUUUCAUCUAUUUGAUGUAAAAUGUUUUAAUUUGAUAGGUUAAUGAAGUAUAUAUUAUUAAAGUUGAUGAACCUCCUUUGUAAUGAUAGACUUUGAACAAAGAUUGCCUAACGUGUAUGCCCACCACGUCACCACCCAAUCCAUUCUUGCAUUAUUCUAUCCAAGUGUAGACACUUUAAUCAAAUAAUUGCUAAAGGUCACUACUUUUUGCUUUUCCUUUACUAUCUCUAUGUUCGAUAUUCAUUUUAAAAUUUAAUUAAUUUGAAUUUGCGGUAAAAACUCUCAAUUUUAGGAAUAAAGUACUUACUAUCAUAGGUUACUCCAUAUUCAGAGCUCAAAACUCAAAAAUAAUAAUUAAAAAUAAAAAAUUAUUUAUCACUUCACAUCUCGAUUGCAAUCUUUGAUUGUGCUACUUGUACUUUCCAAUCCAUCAAAAGGAGUACUCAAUUUUAUGAUCUCUUUUCCUAAAGGGACAAAUUAAAGGACAAUCACGCACGUUUCAAAGACAUAUCUCUUCCUCUUUUUAUCCACUCCCUUUCCCUCUCUUACUUUGAUUCAAUCUAAAAUUCAUAUAUUUUGGAUUAGCUAUGCAAAUAAAGUCUUAUAUUAAUAGUUGAAUCGUUGAAAAGAUUGAUAAGCUCUAAGUGAAGGGAAAUGGUAUAUAUAGUGAUGACAUAGUACUCAAUUUUCUAUCUUUAUAUAUAACACGAAACGUAGCUUAGGCCUUAGAAAACGCACAGAUGAGGAACAUAACGUGGUCAUGGCCAUGCAUGUCUGUGGCACAUAA